CCAAGAGCCGAUUGUGGCGGUAUGGAGAAGCACGCCCCAGAUCCGGUGCGAGAACCAGGAGGGCUGAGGAGUGAUCCGGGAUGGAUAGGAAGUGAGGUGAUUGCAGGAAGAGAAUAUGAGAAUGAUCUAGAGGAGAUGGAAGGUGAUGAAGUUUCAAUUAUUUCCAAUGGAACAAACUCAAACGAUGGAGCUUGGCAGGAGGUGAGACAAGAGAGAAAGAAAAGGAAAGCCAUAGGAAAUAAAGGAGAUGAGAGUAGAGAAUCUGAAAUUAAAGUCAUAAUUCGAUUUCAAACCCUGUGUGCAUUGAAUCCUUUAAAGGUUAGCGAAGCAGUGUAUAAGCUAGUAGGAGAGGUAUAUACAGUAAAAACUUUAAGAGAUGGAAACUUGCUAAUUGUUUGCAAAGAUAGAGAUCAACAACAAGGUUUGAUGAUGUGUAAAACAUUACUGGGGAAGGCAGUGAAGCCGCAAAUAUGGGAAGAAAGAGGGAGAGCUAUGGGUGUUAUAUCUGGAGUAUCGACUGAUGUGACUGAAGAAGAAAUCAAAGUAAAUAUAAGAGGAGUUCGUGUAAACAAGGUGAAACGACUGCCUUAUACUAGAGACGGAGUUAAAAGACCAAGUAUGUCUGUUAUGCUGGCACUAGAUGAGGACAAAUUACCUGAACGGAUUAGAAUUGGGUAUGUUAGCUAUGAAGUUAGACCAUACAUUCCCCCACCGAUAAGAUGCUUUAAAUGCCAACGUUUUGGUCAUAUUGCUGUAGCAUGUAGGGCUAAGGCCCGUUGUGCUAAGUGUGGGGGGGACCAUGAAUAUGGUAAAUGUACUGAAGGGACCAAACAUAAAUGUUGUAAUUGUGGGGGAGAGCAUAGUGCUGCGUAUAAGGGAUGUGAAGCACACAAAAGAGCAGUUCAAGUUCAAAAUGUGAAAGUAAAAGAAAAAAUGACAUAUGCUGAAGCAAUCAAAAAAGUUGACUUGGAAACAAGGAAUAAGGUAGGCCCAAGGGUAGGCCUAGGACCUGUGAUCCAAAAUCCAGCCCAAAAAGUUGUGCAUAAAUGCUGUAAAGUAAAUGAAAAUACUCUGAUUGUAGAAAAGAAGACAUUUAUUGCAUUUAUGGUGGAAGUCAUUAACUGCACAGCACAAACAGAUAGCAGAACAGCAAGAAUAAAGAUAAUCUUAAAAGCAGCAGAGAAGUAUUUAGGUGAAGAGGGACUAACAACCGAAUCUAUUAAUGAAAUGCUUAGAACAGAGGCUUUAGAAAGUCAGUCAUCAUGUGGUGGUGGAUAUUGAUGGUUAUAUCCAUUUUGCAAUGGAACGCCAGGAGUUUAAUUUCUAAUGGACAAGAAUUAAAGUUUUUUAUUGAAGAACUAUUUGUCAAACCUAACGUUAUUUGUGUUCAGGAAACUUGGUUAAAACCUUCUCUUGAUUUUGUAAUUCAUGGGUACACGGCCGUGCGCAAAGAUAGAAGUUCUGUAACAGGGGGUGGAGUGGCUACAUUUGUCCAACAAGGUAUAAAUUUUAGGGCUAUUAACAAUGAUGUACAGAUUGAAGUGGUCAUAAUUGAAAUAUGGGUUGAUAGAACUAAAAUCAAAGUAGCUAAUCUUUAUAACCCCUGCCAAAAGUUAACAAAAGUUAUGCUGGAAGGAAUAUGGCAAGGGGGAAAUGACAAAGUAAUAAUUUGUGGAGAUUUUAAUGCACAUAGCUCACUCUGGGGUAGUACAAGAACAGAUGAAAAUGGGAGUAUCAUUGAGGAGUAUAUGGAUGAGCACAGUUUAGUGUGUUUGAAUGAUGGAAGAGGUACAAGAUUUGAUGUAGGUAGAGGAACAGAAUCAGCCAUCGAUCUAACUAUAGUGUCAGAACAAAUAGCAGGGAGAAGCCAAUGGGAGGUUUUCAAUGAUAAUAGUUUGGGAAGUGAUCAUUACCCUAUUUUGACAAAGAUGAGAGACCAAAGUGUACAUUUAGAAGGGAAUUGGUUACCAAGAUGGAAAAUGAAAGCGGACAACUGGGGACAUUAUAGUAUGGUAGCAAGUGGAAAGUUGAUGGGGAUUCAGUCAUAUUCAGAUGAUGAUGUUGAGGAAUGGAACUCUAUGAUUACUGGUAUACUAUAUGAAUCAGCAGAGGAGACUAUAGGUAAAUCUACCGGGAUGAAGAAAAAGAAAAUGGUUCCAUGGUGGUCAGAGGGGUGCAAAGAAGCAGUUAAAGCAAGGAAUAAGGCAUUUAAAAUUAUUAAAUCAAAUCACAUAUUCAGUAAUUUAAUAGAAUAUAAAAAAGCACAGGCCAAAGCCAAAAGAGUUAUUUGUGAGGCCAAAAGGAAAUAUUGGAGAGACUUUUGCAGCAAUAUUGGGUCUGAAAUUAAGGUUAGUGACGUAUGGGGAAUGAUAAAGAAAAUGGGAGGCAUCAGAAGGGACUUAACCAUACCAGUAAUAAAAGGAAAUGACAUUGAGGCAGUAACUAAUUCAGAAAAGGCAGAGGUACUGGCUAGAGCAUUUGUUAAGGUACAUAGUACACAAAAUUUAUCCAAUGAAGAGUUAAUGUGGAGAACAAAGGUGAUUAAGGAAAACAGGAGUAUUUUGGAGAGGAAAAUCACAGGUGACACUGCAAUUGAUAGAAAUUUCUCAUUAUUUGAACUAAAAAGAGCUUUAAUAGGUGCUAAGAAUACUUCGCCAGGGAAAGAUGAUGUGUGUUACAAAAUGAUAGAGCAACUAUCUGAUGUGGCUAAGUGUGUUGUUUUAAAAUUGUAUAAUAAGAUAUGGGAGCAAGGGAAGUUGCCUAGAAUGUGGAAACACUCUGUUGUAGUUCCCAUAGGUAAGCCAGGCAAGGACAAAACAGAGGUUAAAAGCUAUAGACCAAUAGCUCUUACAUCCAACAUGUGCAAAAUAAUGGAGAAAAUGAUUACUUUAAGACUAGGAUAUUUAAUUGAAAAAAAAGGACUGCUCUCCCCUCACCAGAGUGGAUUUCGUAGUGGUCGCACAACAAUGGAUCCAAUUAUUUGUCUAGAAAAUGAAAUUAGGAAAGCUCAAGUAAGUAAAGAAUCUGUUUUGGCUAUACUGUUUGAUAUUGAGAAAGCAUAUGACAUGUUGUGGAAGGAGGGGCUUUUAAUUAAGUUAAAUAAUAUGGGUAUAGGUGGCAGGAUGUUUAACUGGAUUCAAGACUUUUUAAAUAAUAGAACCAUAGAGGUAAGAGUAGGGAUGGAGUUUUCAAGUACAUAUUCAAUAGAGAAUGGUACCCCACAAGGAAGCGUAUGUAGUCCAAUGCUUUUUAAUAUAAUGAUUAAUGACAUUUUUAGUAGAAUAGAUCAAAGGAUGGGUAGAGCAUUGUAUGCUGAUGAUGGGGCAUUAUGGGUGAGAGGUAGGAAUAUUGAUAAUUUGAAGAUUAAAAUGCAAUCAGCAAUUGAUAAGGUUGAAAAGUGGUCACAUGAGUGGGGCUUUCAUCUAUCUAUUGAAAAGACACAGUUUAUAUGUUUUUCCAAAAAAAGAACGAACCCUAUUAUAGAUCUCAAAAUGUAUGGGCAGCAACUUAAGCAAGUUGAAAGUAUAAGAUAUCUGGGGGUAUGGUUUGACGUUAAGCUAAAUUUCAAAAUACAUAUUCAAAAAAUGAUAGAUAAGUGCAAAAAAGGUAUAAAUAUACUGAAGUGUUUAGCAGGGUCUAGUUGGGGAGCGUCGGGCAUGUCAUUGAAAAGGAUUUAUACUGCACUGAUUCGUUCUGUUUUUGAUUAUGGAAGCAUAGUUUAUAGUUCAACAAAUAAAACCUCAUUGCAAGAACUAGAUAGAGUACAGGCCAAGGCACUUCGAAUAUGUUGUGGUGCGUUCAGGACAACACCUAUUCCAGCAUUACAAGUAGAAGUAGGAGAAAUGCCUUUAGAUCUCAGGAGAUUAAAAUUAGCCAUGUCUUAUUGGACAAAUCUGAAAGGACAUGAAGAAACACACCCUACAAAGAAGGUGUUAUUAGAAUGCUGGGAGUAUGGGCGCCCAUCAGGCAGUUUUGGGUGGCAUGGGAAUAGGCAGGCAAAAAAUAUGGAAAUUGACAAAAUUGCAUGUAGUAAAACUAUUAACAUACCAACAAUCCCACCCUGGAUGUUUUGUUUUCCUAGGGUGGAUUUGGAGGCUAAUAACAGUAUUAAAUCAGGGAUGUAUCAAAAUGUUCAGCAAUAUAUUGAUAUAAUGUAUGAUGAUGAUACAGUUCAGAUUUUCACAGAUGCAUCAAAAAAUCAGACCGGGAAAAUAGGGGUUGCAGUACACAUUUCAAAGUAUAAUGUUAAUAUUAAAAAAAGGGCAACUGAUCAUCUGGCCAUUUUUACAGCAGAAAUGUUAGCAAUAAUUCUGGCUCUACAAUGGGUGGAAGAAGUAAAACCCAAUAAGGUGAUUAUCUGUUCAGACUCAAUGUCCUCACUAGCAUGCAUUCAGAGUGGAAAGUCUACAUGUAGACAGGAUCUAUUAGAUGAAAUUAAUCAACUCAUUUUUAAAAUAAAUCAACAGAGCACAAGAGUAGAGUUUAUAUGGGUUCCUGCACAUAGGGGAGUGGAGGGGAACGAGAAGGCAGACAUGCUGGCCAAGGAAGCUGUUACAUCAGAACUGGUUGAAAUAAAUAUCACGUUAAGCAGAUCAGAAAUUAAAAGUAUUAUUAAGGACAAAAUUAACAGAAUAUGGCAGGAGAGAUGGGAUAAGGAGGGAAAAGGUAGACACUUGUAUAACAUACACAAAGAGGUUACAAUUAGUAAAAUCAGUGGAUUGGAAAGACAGGAGGAAACAUGGUUUUCAAGACUGAGGAUGGGACAUACAAGUUUAAAUAGUGGAUUACAUAUUAUAGGAAAACAUCAGACUGGAAUAUGCACAAACUGUGGAGUAACAGAAAAUGUAAAACACAUACUUCUAGAAUGCACACAAUACACCAGGGAAAGGGAAAACAUGAAGAAAGCGGUAAAUAAAGACUUAACAAUGGAAAACUUAUUGAGUGUAACCAGUACACAGUCCUCAGUUAGGGCGGUUAUAGCUUUCCUUAAAGAAACCCAAUUAGCAAGCAGAAUUUAGUUUUCAUCCUUUAGUUUAUUUUUUAUUUUAUUUUUUUUUUUUUUAUAUAAGUAUUUUUAUUCCAUCCCAAUGUGAUCACACCUCAGUCCAGUAGAUGGCGGUAAUGCACAUUGAUUGCAAACUGCCAAUAAAACUCAUCGAAGAAGAAGAAGAAGAAGAAGAAGAAGGCAACCAAGCGCACGUCACCAAGCGCGUCAUCUGGUUUCGGAAGUGAUGUAACUUCCUGUGGGUUGUGUUUACGUCUACGAGUGUGUGGCUGAGGAAUAUUGUGGAUGUGUCCAGUGACACUUCGUCAGCUUUUCACUGAUACACGUCAAGUGUGCGGAGCGGCGUGAGUCCUAUUGGCAGUGUCACGGAGGUGUUGCAGCAGGCUUUUUGGGCGCUGUUGAGCCUUGCGUCCUUUCUGCACAAUCAAUACUGACUACUGAGCAGCUGCAGUAAUGAACGCAUGACAAGCAGUGCUAUUAUAAAGAUUUUGGCGUUUAUUUCUUCAUGGUGGUCCAGGCUUGACCCGCUCUUCACUGCCUCUUAACGGAUGCAUGUAAUAUGAACUAACCGAAUAUCCUAUCUCCACGAAGGGAGGAUUGCCUUUGUGGUUGGACUGAUAGCGUUCCCGGCCAGUGAGCGCGCAGCUAAAUUUAGCCGUGUUGAUUACUUAACGGUUUGACUACGGUGGGGUAUUUAAAUCGUAUAUCUCUGUAUUGUCACCCCUGUUGUGUUUAUUAUUUUGUUUGAUUUUCUUUUGAUUUUUCUUUUGAAGUUGUGGUGUGGAAACUCUUAUUUGGGGUUUUUGUAUGAUUUGAUUUGUUUUGUAAAUGUGAUGUUUUUCAUGAUGUUAUGGUGCUGCCUGUUUGUAAGUAAUUGAUAAGGAGAGCCGCUAUAACGAGGUGAUGCUGACUCCUUUGGCAGCGGUGUUCUUUUAUAAAUCAUAGUGUAUUGCUCAUAUGCGUGUCGUUUGUGUGUUUGUCUAAUUUUAUUCUUCUCCCUUCAGAAUUGGGGUACCAGUGCGAGCCAGUGUCUGCAGUGUGUGGUGGUGGGACAGCUGUCAACUUGAAGUGAUCACGAUUUGGUGUGAGGUGUUGUGAGAGAACACGAGUGCUUGCUGUGUUUAGCUAAAAGGCAGUACAACUUCCCCAGUUCUGAAGUGGUAAAACAAGAGUGUGCAUGGAUGAAUGAUGUUGUGAUUUAUUGUACUCUUUUUUUUUUUUUUUUUAACUUUUUGCAUAUUAAAACGAAUUAUGUAUUUUCUAUGUGAUUUGAAUAAAUUGUUUCAAAUAUU